rnacentral:lncRNA from 1 species
GAACUGUUAACGUAACCACAUGAGAAUUUGUUUGGGGUACAUUCAUCCUGAAGUCAAACGGAAUCAAAUACAACAGAUUUGACAGUUCAGAGGUCUAGACCAAACACAUACAGAUGCUUGCCAUGAUUCUAUGUUAUAAUAUCAUAACUAAAACAAAACCCAAUGGUUAUAUGCAUUAAAACACGUCUGAUCUAACAAACAAAUGCUAUCUAAUAGUUCAUCUCAAAUCAGAAUGUAUGUUAAUUCAUACAGAGAAAUUGCAGUUUGAAGUUAAACAAAUGCAGGCCAACUUAUCAUUUAAACUAUGGCUAUAUUUUGAACAUAAGCAUCGUGAAGUAAACAACAUUUGUUUCUUUAUUUCUGCUUCAAAACUUCAAGCUUUCAACAACACAUGGUUUCAGAAGUUGUGUACCUGGAAGUGUUUACAGUUGAAGAAGAAGGGAAGUCAGCAGAGUAACAAUGACAACAAAUGCAGCAGCAGUAACAACAGACAACAACAACACAAAUCCCAGAACAAAGUGCAACUAUAGCCGAUAGAACAAGUAGUAACAACACAAACAGCAACCCCAGUGCAGUAGACACAAUGCUUCAAGACCAAAACCAAGUCCAGGAGAACAAACAAUGCUACCCAAACAAUAGACUUAGUCGAGACUUGGAAGAAAUCAGGAUUUAUUGAACAGGUUGAACAAAUGAAACCCAAACAACAGUAGGAAGAAACAACUUCUGAUUUUUUGUAUGUUUUUCUCUCUUGUUUAUGUGUCUGUAUAUGCCUCUCUGUGAUAUCCCUCUCACUAUCUCUUUUCUUUUCAAAAUCCAGUGCCAAUUUCCAGUCUCGAAAUCUGUCUGAGUUGCUCAAAAAUCCAGUCCCCUUCCUAAUGGAAGUUCUUUUUCCUUUUAUAGCCUAACAUUAGGCUAUCUACAGCCUGUUAAAACACAUCAGAAACCUUCUCUUUCUUGCUUUUUUUCCAUUCAACAUUUUAAAAUAUGAAAACAUUCCCAUAAGAUUCCUAACAGCCCUUUUAAUUGGCUUAUUAAACUAAACGCAGACAUGGGCAGCAGGAAUAUAACCUGACAACACAUGCUGUCAAGUUAUUCUUCAUCUUAACAAAGGCCUUUAUGCACAUGUUGUGCACAAGUGCACAUGCCCCCCAAUUCGGACUGCAAUUAUAGACCAAGACCCUUAAAUUUCUAAUUCAAGUACAACAACUAUAAGUAGUUAAACUCAAUUCCUAAUUUGAUUUAAGUAGGAUUUCGACAGAAAACCCAAUCAAAUUAUUAUCAUUUAAAGCUUUGAACUUAUUGACGAUGUGUAUCGAUUCGACUAUACUAAUUACAACAUAUACAAUCAAAAUCCAUGAUCAGAACUCUAACAGUAUCAACCUACAAUUCAAAUUGUACUGACUAAGCAAAAGUUGUACUGGUGAAAUCAAUUAAUCAGUCAAUUUCAAAGUUCAAUUGAUUGCACAACUCAUACACAUAUACACAUUAUCAGUGAAUAGAAGACAGAUUCGAUCAAACACAGAGGUGGACAACAACAGUUGAUAAAAUUUAAAAUACACAAAUUAAACAAAACAUUUGGCCAUACGAACAGACCUUUAACAACACAUGUACUGAAUCGAGGAAAGAAAAACACACCUACCUUAAAGUCCUUGACAAAAAUCAGAAAACCAGCUCGUGUUUGAAAUGAACCUUCUUGGGGUUGAACGGACUUUAAUCAAAGUAUUCUCAACUUAGAACACUUCGAUUAAGGUCCAUUAGACCCUAAUCACUUUAGCUCAAACGGACACAGACCAGGCUUGGGGUUUCUGGGGUUCAUAGAUGGUAGAUUUGGGAUUUGGGUUUCCAUGGUUAGAUUCAUACCAAACCAAGCAUGGUUUGGUCACGAGGGAGGUUCGGGGACUGUCUGGUGUGAAGCUGGGGUACAUCGGUGUAAGUCGAGGUUCUGCUCGAAUCUUCAACUGAAGAUUCGAGACGAUGGGGGAAGGUUCGAGAUCAAUGGUUUGCAGAUCUAUGUUCAGGGUGUCAAGGUGGUCCUAGGGUGUUAAGGUGAGGGCCACCGGCGUUCAUGCCACCGGGUUUUGGUGAAGGGAAAUGGGGGCGGCUAGAGUUCUGGGGUUUGUGGUGAGGACGAUGAAAGGUAGGGGGGGUCUGGCUAGGGGGCGUGGGGUAAAGGAAUGGGAUUAUAUAGUAAGUGAGGGGUCGAUUCCUGGCCGUCGGAUGGGGUGAGAUGAAGGGUCAGGAUCUUUUGGCUGGUAAGGAACGGUGUCGUUUCAAUCUAAAGGGGGUUGGGUCGGUCCGGGUGGAAUGGGUCGGGUUUGUUCGUGGGUAUGGGGAAUGCGAUCUUGGUCGUUGAUCAUUCUGAGAUCAACGGCCCAGAUCAGACCAGAUCAAAACGAUGUCGUUUGGACGCUCUUGGGGUCAGCUGGUCUGGACCGGGGCAAGCACAUGCUUUGGCCUCAUUGGGCCUCGGAUUUUGAAUGGGAACAAGCCCAAACCUGAUUUCAGGCCAAUUUUGCACUCUUUUUCUUUUAUUUUUCAUUUUUAAAACAAAACAUAAUUAAACAAAAUUAAACUCCAUUAAUUAAACACUUAAUACAAUUAUUCACGCAUAUUAAAAUGUUAAAAGUAGGUAAAAUUAAACAAGGCAACAAUCAGGACAAAAUGCAUAUUUUAUGAUUUUCCAUUUAAUAACCGGAUUACGGUUCGAACUACGCAUGACACACGUUUUUUGUAUUUUGUUUUAAUAAAAUAAAAUGGGAAAAAAUCAUAAAUAAUUAACAACAUACCACGUAAAAAUCCAAAAAUUGUACAACAAGACCAAUUGCUAUUAUUUUUGUUUCUUUUGGAGUGAUUGUCGCGUAAAACAAAAAUCACGUGCUCACAAGGAGUGUAUAAGUAUAAGGGAAUUUUUCCAAUUAAAGGACAAUCGAAACGGGAUUAUUUACAUUAAAUUCAGAGUCGCCACUUGGGAGAUUUAUAGUGUCCCAAGGCACCGGUUUAAAAUCCCGAAUCGAGGAACGGUUGACUUUGUGAUACAGUCUGUGAACCAGAAAUCCGGAUAAGGAAUUCUGUUAACCUGGGAGAAGGUGUUAGGCAUUCCCGAGUUCCGUGGUUCAAGCACGGUCGCUCAACUGUUAUAUCCGGCUUAAUUGUUUGACUUACAAUAAUUUGAACCUAUGUGCAAUUUUAACUUUAACCGCUUUUAAAUUAAGAAUAUUAUCUUGAAACGGGUCACGCCUACGUGUACCCGUUUGUUUGGCGCGUGAAAAAUCAUGUCACGCGAACGUGUCCACAAUUAAUAACGCUUUAUUAUUAUUAAGAAAAAUUUAGCCGAAGUUGUGCGAACGCAUACUCCGAUUUUGUUUUUAAGAUCAUAAUCAUGUCAUGCAAACGUGUACACAAUCACGAUGGUUGAUUGGUUAAUACGCGCCUAGAGUAUACUAGCGCAAUGGGAACUAACUGAAUUUUCUCAGAUUAUAUUGAUAAAGGAAACAAAUUUUACAAUACCAAGUCUUUAAGACCCGAAUGCAUUACUGUUACCAUUAAUUAUCAUAAAAGUGAUCAAAUUGGAAUUCCAAGUUUCAAAGUCAACCAAGAAACUAAGAUAUACACAGGCAUGCAGAAAAUCACCAAUUAACGCAACAAAAGGCAUCAAAUUCGAAUGAUAAAAUUCUCACCUGUAACAUGGUUAAUGUGACAUCGUUUUCAUUAAAAUUCAACCCGUAACUCUCACAAAAAAACAAAUAUUUUGCCGGCAACCUAAGCUUGAGCAGAGAAUGCAGCGGAACCUCGUUGGCGAUCAAAGAACCUCCAAAUAGCGACAAAAUCGAACCAACUCGCAAUCUCGGCAAUACAGGUUACUGGAAAUUGAAAACGAAACCUUCGAUUGGAACACUAAAUAAGCGACAAACGGAACAUUUUCCGAUGACCUCGACGGAACCUCAAAACGAUACCGAGAAACUCGACACCCAAGCUCGGAGCUAACGUUCACUCGAUCUUGGAGUGAAACUCGCUGCCUCCUUCCUGCUCUUGUUCUCUCUAUUUCUCAUUUCUGUGUGUGUAUGGUUGUGUGCGUCGACGGGAGGAGAGGAUGCUAUGGUGGUGGUGGAGCUCGGCAUCUAUGGAGGAGUUGGUUGUGUGUCGUUUGUUUCUAGCCACUCGCCGGAGUAGCAGAACGAAAGGGUGAGGCGUGGGGUCAUUUCUUUUGGUUGAUGCUGGUUCAAAGAAGAAGGUUCAUAACCGGGGGGGGGGGGGGGGGUCAUGUAGAAGAUGAAGUCGAGACGGGGGGUCGUGUAGAAGAUGAAGUCGAGAGGGGGUGGGGGUAUGGAGAAGACGACGCGCAGCGUUUCCCGUUUUUUCUUGUUCUCGUUCAUCCAUUUUAAGCUCUGAUGAUCAGCCCUUUAAAGGGCACUAAUUAGUGUUAUUUCCACUAUCAAAUUAUCCUUUCC